UGGACCUCUGGGAAUAGAGUUAGUUGUACUUCUUCCUUUUCAGUCUGGGUGCCUUUUAUUUCUUCUCACCCAGGCCAGAACCUCCAACACAACAUUAAAUAGAAUUAGCUGAGCAGGGACUUCCCUGGUGGUCUGGUGGUCCAGGGCUUAAGACUCCACUCUGCCAACGUAAGGAGCUUGGGUUCAAUCCCUAGUCAGGAACUAUGAUCCUAAAUGCCACAUGGUGUAGCCCCAAAAAUAAAAUUUUUUAAAAGUAGCAGAGCAGAUAUCUUUGACGUGUUCUGCUCUUAGGAGAGAAGCAUCCAGUCGUGGACCACAGGGUAUACACGGUGAGAUGAUGACCACAGUAAGGUUGCCUAACACACUCAUCGGUCACCUAGUUACGUGUGUGUGUGUGGUGAGAACACAUACGAUAUGCUCUCCUAGCAACUUGCAGAUAUGUGCCCAGAAGUGAGAUUGCUGGAUCAUGUCGCUAAGUCGUGUCCGACUCUUUGCAUCCCCAUGGACUGCAGCACAUCAGGCCCCCCUGUCCUUCACUGUCUCCUGGAGUUUGCUCACAUUCAUGUCCAAAGAGUCCGUGAUGCCAUCUAACCAUCUCAUCCUUUCUGAUGCUGAAGCUGAAGCUCCAAUACUCUGGCCACCUGAUACAAAGAGCUGACUCAUUAGAAAAGACCCUGAUGCUGGGAAAGAUCGAUGACAACAGGAGGAGGCGGCGGCAGAGGAUAAGUCCCUUGUUUCCCAUCUUAAAAGGAGGGACUGCCGUGGCAGCCCAGUGGUUGCAACUCUGCUCUUCCCCUGUUGCGGGGGUCUGUGCAGGUUCCGUCCCUGAUUGGGAAACAGAUCCCACAUGCUGAGCCACCAAAACAAAAUAAGGAAUUUCUUUAAAAAAAACAACAGGAAAGCUCUCAGCCUUUCACCACGAUGACGUUACCUGUGAUUGUCAUAUAUGCCCUGUAUUAUGUUAACUUAAAUUCUUUCUAUACCAAAUGUGUGGAGACUUUGACAUAAAAUGACCCACCAGCUCAGAGCUUGAGGACACAGGGCGGCACCUGGUCCUUCAGAGUCCAGCCCGGAAAGAAAGGUGGAAACUCCCUCCAGCACCGGGUGCCUUGGGCUAGCAGCCCUGACCUACCUCCUCCCAAGCUCUGUUCCUGAGGCUUCUUCCCCCACCACCCCAGCUGACCCAAAGGCCCUCCCACACCCUCAGAAACAGAAAUGACCGUCCUUGGUGGUUACGCCGGCUUGCUUCUGUUUCUUUGCCUACUUCUCCCCCAAGGCUCUCACAAGUCCCAAGCUCCCCGCAUUUUUCCUUAUUCACACUGAUUCUCUUGGUGCGCCCCCGCAAGUCGCCCCCAUGCACACUCCACGUGAAAUGUCAGCUUUACUCGGGGAAACACGGAGCGCAGAGUAGGAAACCAAGCGGCCACCUGAUCAUCUGGAAUGAGGACCUGAGACACAACGGCUGGGCGGUGGCAGUGACCGCUUUAUGCUGAGCCCUGAAAACCCAGUCUGAAGAAAAUGCAGAGUUAACCUUUCUAUUGACUUGGCAGCUGCCUCUUCUUUACUGAAAU
ensembl:lncRNA